CGCACAUUGCGCCCACCAGUAUUCUGGUGGGCAUGCCUGUUCGAGCGUCAUUUCAAACCCUUACGCCCUAGUCGCGUAGCGUUGGGGGCCUACUACUCGGGACAUCGUCCCCCCUCGUAGCCCCCGAAAGUUAGUGGCGGAGCCGGUUCGCACUCCAGACGUAGUACACUUAUUUACCCCGCCUGUAGCACGGACCCGGUCCCCUGCCGUAAAACCCUCCUAUAUCUAAAAGGUUGACCUCGGAUCAGGUAGGAAUACCCGCUGAACUUAA
rnacentral:misc_RNA from 1 species